ACGCUAGCUACAGGCUUAACACAUGCAAGUCGAGGGGAAACGGCAUUAAGUGCUUGCACUUUUUGGACGUCGACCGGCGCACGGGUGAGUAACGCGUAUCCAACCUUCCCAUGACUAAGGGAUAACCUGCCGAAAGGCAGACUAAUACCUUAUGGUCUUCACUGACGGCAUCAGAUGUGAAGUAAAGAUUUAUCGGUUAUGGAUGGGGAUGCGUCUGAUUAGUUAGUUGGCGGGGUAACGGCCCACCAAGGCAACGAUCAGUAGGGGUUCUGAGAGGAAGGUCCCCCACAUUGGAACUGAGACACGGUCCAAACUCCUACGGGAGGCAGCAGUGAGGAAUAUUGGUCAAUGGGCGAGAGCCUGAACCAGCCAAGUAGCGUGCAGGAUGACGGCCCUAUGGGUUGUAAACUGCUUUUGUAUGGGGAUAAAGUCAAUCACGUGUGAUUGUUUGCAGGUACCAUACGAAUAAGGACCGGCUAAUUCCGUGCCAGCAGCCGCGGUAAUACGGAAGGUCCGGGCGUUAUCCGGAUUUAUUGGGUUUAAAGGGAGCGUAGGCUGGAGAUUAAGUGUGUUGUGAAAUGUAGACGCUCAACGUCUGACUUGCAGCGCAUACUGGUUUCCUUGAGUACGCACAACGUUGGCGGAAUUCGUCGUGUAGCGGUGAAAUGCUUAGAUAUGACGAAGAACUCCGAUUGCGAAGGCAGCUGACGGGAGCGCAACUGACGCUGAAGCUCGAAGGUGCGGGUAUCGAACAGGAUUAGAUACCCUGGUAGUCCGCACAGUAAGCGAUGGAUGCCCGCUGUUGGUACUUGGUAUCAGCGGCUAAGCGAAAGCAUUAAGCAUCCCACCUGGGGAGUACGCCGGCAACGGUGAAACUCAAAGGAAUUGACGGGGGCCCGCACA
rnacentral:rRNA from 1 species